UUGGACGCAAGGCUUCCACGAGGCUGUGAAGGAGGCUGCAUGGAAACCGGUGGGGAUCUGAAAAGCUUUUAGUGGCCUCGCCACACACAGCACUUUAGAUGCUCAGGUGACGAGCAACAUUUUCCAAGCCCAGCUAGUAAGCACCUCACCUCCUCUGGCUUCCAGAACCUGGUGUGGAGGGCCAGGAGAGGCUUCAGGACUGAAGGGCAGAGCAGCAGACUCCGGGGCUCAUGUAGGAACAUGCCUUCAGCCAAAGAUUAUCCACGCUGCAUGGAGACUCUUGCUAAAUAUCACUGGUGUUCUCUGACAGCCAGGACAAGGAAGAAGCCCUGGCAUGCAAACCCCAGAGCCAGGGGCAGUGUUGCCAGGAGCCCUAUGCCUUGAUUUCACCCCCCAAACCCUUCAACUGGUACCUCAGAAGAGCAGAGGUGAAAGACAGGGAGCCUCCCCCUGAGAAGAGCUUCUGGGAACUCAAAGGUGCCAUUCAACUAAGAUGGAAUCUCGCUCUGUCGCCCAGGCUGCAGUGCAGCGGCAUGAUGUCUGCUCACUGCAACCUCCACCUCUCGGGUUCAAGUGAUUCUCCUGCCUCAGCCUCCUGAGUAGC
rnacentral:antisense_RNA from 1 species